GACACGACUCUCGGCAAUGGAUAUCUCGGCUCUUGCAUCGAUGAAGAGCGCAGCGAAAUGCGAUACGUGGUGCGAAUUGCAAAAUCCCGCGAAC
rnacentral:rRNA from 1 species